CAGUAUUGCGGUCAUUGCUGCUGCUAAAAAAGCUAAGAUUGAUAUAAAUAAUUCAGCUUAAGUUGCUGUGAUAGUUAAUUUCUAAGUUUCGUUCAGCAUUGUUGGAGUGCCUUAUUAACUAUUGAUCUCCGUCCAAACUAACCAUCACGUUAUUUGUUCAGUUGUUGGAUCGUUUUUGUUGCUGAUAGUCAUUGUGGCCAUCAGCCAAGGAUACCACGAAAGAUGUUGCAAUAUGCCGUGCAAUCAUAGUGGUGAGAAGCAUUGCCAGUAACA